UACGGGGGGGGGCAAGCGUUUGUUCGGAAUUACUGGGCGUAAAGAGUGCGUAGGCGGUUUUCUAAGUUUGGUGUGAAAUCUCCCGGCUCAACUGGGAGGGUGCGCCGAAGACUGGAAGGCUUGAGUAUGGGAGAGGUAAGCGGAAUUCCAGGUGUAGCGGUGAAAUGCGUAGAUAUCUGGAGGAACAUCAGUGGCGAAGGCGACACCCUGGACUCAUACUGACACUGAGGUGCGAAAGCGUGGGGAGCAAACAGG
rnacentral:rRNA from 1 species